GUAACAACCAUUUGAGUCUGGGAUUUCUGAAUGGGGAAACCCACGUGCAUAAGCACGUAUCGUUAUGUGAAUACAUAGCAUAACGAGGCGAACCGGGGGAACUGAAACAUCUAAGUACCCCGAGGAAAAGAAAUCAACCGAGAUUCCGAAAGUAGCGGCGAGCGAAAUUGGACUAGCCCUUAAGCUUUACACGCGUUAGACGAACGGUCUGGAAAGUCCGACGAUACAGGGUGAUAGUCCCGUAGUUGACGACGUGUGUUCAGUGAAAUCGAGUAGGGCGGGACACGUGAUAUCCUGUCUGAAUAUGGGGGGACCAUCCUCCAAGGCUAAAUACUACUGACUGACCGAUAGUGAACCAGUACCGUGAGGGAAAGGCGAAAAGAACCCUUGUCCUGUGACUGCGUACCUUUUGUAUAAUGGGUCAGCGACUUAUAUUCAGUGGCAAGGUUAACCAUCUAGGGGAGCCGUAGGGAAACCGAGUCUUAACUGGGCGUUCAGUCUCUGGAUAUAGACCCGAAACCAGGUGAUCUAGCCAUGGGCAGGUUGAAGGUUGAGUAACAUCAACUGGAGGACCGAACCGACUAAUGUUGAAAAAUUAGCGGAUGACUUGUGGCUAGGGGUGAAAGGCCAAUCAAACCUGGAGAUAGCUGGUUCUCCCCGAAAGCUAUUUAGGUAGCGCCUCGGACGAAUACUACUGGGGGUAGAGCACUGUUAAGGCUAGGGGGUCAUCCCGACUUACCAACCCUUUGCAAACUCCGAAUACCAGUAAGUACUAUCCGGGAGACACACGGCGGGUGCUAACGUCCGUCGUGGAGAGGGAAACAACCCAGACCGCCAGCUAAGGUCCCAAAUUACUACUAAGUGGGAAACGAUGUGGGAAGGCUCAGACAGCCAGGAUGUUGGCUUAGAAGCAGCCAUCAUUUAAAGAAAGCGUAAUAGCUCACUG
rnacentral:rRNA from 1 species